GGAGACGCUAGUAUUGAAGUCAGUGAGAAUCCAGCCACACACAGGAACCUGGCCAUGAAGGAACUGGGCUCGGGUUCAAAAAAAUUCUACCCAGAAGAAAGAACAUGGUCUACGGUCUUGGAAGGAAAGUUUAGCUGCCUAGCUCAGAUGAGGAGUUCCCUUCAGGGAGAGCAUGGAAGUGACUUAUACUUCUGCCAGCUAUGCAGGAAGAUGGAGACUGUAGGAUUGGGAAAUGCUUUUGUAUCAAAGGCACAAAAGUGAAAUGGCAAUGCCCAUGUCACCUGCUGAAAAACAGCUGCGGACACCGUACAUGUAAUUCAUUAUUUGAGCAAAAAACUCUUAGGUGGGUAAGACAGCGGUUUCUGUGAAUUCUCCAAAUGCUAUCAUUAAAAUAUUAGUGAUAAAAGUCACCAAAAAUUGCCAGUUACCCUAAUAAUAUUUAUUUAAACUUACUGCCAAUUACCCUAAGAGCAUAUGCUGAUGUCUAAAUAUGCAAGCAGAAAAACAGCUAGUUAACAUGCA